rnacentral:lncRNA from 1 species
UAGCUUUUCAUAAAUUAUUAUUUAUUAUCUGGUGGAGAAUAGGAAAUCUUGACAUAAAAAAGAAUGAAUUGGUUCUUGUUUCUAAAUCCAUAAAUGCAGCUUGUAGUGGUCUUGUAGAAACUGUCUUCUUAGACUGUCUUGCAGAAAUAUGACAUUCAGUUACUAAUUCAGGGGCUGUUUAGAGAUGCACUACUAAUUUCUCUUUGUUUUCCAUGUUAUCCAGAAUGAAGUAUCUUAUUUGGAGGAAGAAGCCUCUGAAGCAGGAAGCACAACUAACUUAGCAGCUGAAAGUUUGUUACUCUUAAGAAUGGUGAUUGUUCCUUAUUAAAUCAGUGGACAUAGAUAUCAGCACAGCUGCCUCCAAGGGUGAUUUCAGACAAAUCCAGUCCUAUGGGAAUCAAGGCAAAGGUUUCCUCUGUGCAUGUUAAUUUGAGUCUGUCUCACGGUGACAAAGGCAAUGGCAGAGCCCACAGCAAUGAGCAUGCUAAUAAAGUAGCUGGAUGUACUUAUCAGGAAAGAGAAGCCAAGUAGGUCACUAGUCCUAGUUCAGCGGCAAGAUUUCUUUCUGUUCUAAAUUUUCACAACAAAUUGGUUGUACAAGCUCAGGUAAAUCUCAAAAGGUUGAAUAAGGAUUCACAAGUCAAUUGAAAUGUUUCCAUUUUGAAAGUAGUCAUUGUUUUGCUAAUGCCAUUGAUUGCUUAAUUCUGCUACUUUCUUUAGCAGCAAAGGGAAAUGGAAACCAUUCCUGUAAUUGGCAAUAGGAAACUUUAUACAGAAACCAGUUGAACCGGAAAGAAAACUAUGCUAGGCUUUCAGUUAAUAAGGUUUCUCAAUCAAUCAGUAAUAGUUGCUGAGUUCCCACUCUAGGGGGUCUGCUUUUUCAGGUAAACUCUGUGUUCUUAGAUUUUCUAUGUAGAGCUACAAGGAAUGCCUCUCAAAAACUCGCGCAACAGCAGGCCCUCCAGGACCAGUUCAACUGACCCCAUCUUAUCAACAGAGUGAUUAAGAACUGUCUUUCAGAAAAUUUGGAAAGUCACAUAGCCAGAGCUUGUGCAGGAGAGGAAAUCUUGACCCUAAAUGACAGCAGAACCAAAGAUCCUCCUUCCCAUGGAACCCAAGGACCAGGACACGACCAGAUCUUGAAAGUCAGACUCUUCUCAGAAGCGAGGGGUCCAUCGUUCAGGAAGAUUCAGCGUUAAAAUUCCUUCCCCGCCUCAUCAAAAA